rnacentral:misc_RNA from 1 species
GGAGGAGGUGGUGGUGGAGGUGGU